GCUGAUGCUGGCGGUGAUGCCGAUGGUGGGAGCUGGAAAUAGGUGCUACGUCAUCGUUGUCAUCGUCAUCAUCAUCAUC
rfam:Loxodonta africana unplaced genomic scaffold scaffold_22, whole genome shotgun sequence.